UUACUCUGGUUUCCCUUCAAAUCGAAUAAAUCUUUCGCCUUUUACUGAAGAUUUCCGUGGAGAGUCUGCCUUCGGCAGUGACACAGUGCGGACUUUGUUGCCCGCCGGCCGCGCUGUGG